rnacentral:antisense_RNA from 1 species
AACACAACGUUCUUUAGUCAUGGUCAAGCAGAUAAGACCGCGGCCAUACGUCGCCAUAAAGUUGAUCGCUUCUGGCGUCACAUGCUCAGCAGCCAUAAUAA